AUUGAACGCUGGCGGCAGGCUUAACACAUGCAAGUCGAGCGAGCGGCGGACGGGAGAGUAAUGUACGGGAAAAUGCCUGAUGGAGGGGGAUAACUACUGGAAACUGUAGCUACUACCGCAUUACACCAGCUGUGCCCUGAUGGGAUUAGCUAGUAGGUGGGGUAAUGGCUCACCUAGACGACGAUCCAUAGCUGGUCUGAGAGGAUGACCAGCCACACUGGAACUGAGACACGGGCCAGACUCCUACGGGAGGCAGCAGUGGGGAAUAUUGCACAAUGGGCGCAAGCCUGAUGCAGCCAUGCCGCGUGUGUGAAGAAGGCCUUCGGGUUGUAAAGCACUUUCGGCGAGGAGGCGUUACUCGCAGAAGAAGCACCGGCUAACUCCGUGCCAGCAGCCGCGGUAAUAC
rnacentral:rRNA from 1 species